GUCUUGAAUUAUUGUGAAGUGGUUAGAAUAUGUAGUGUAGCGGUGAAAUGCAUAGAUAUUACGAAGAACAUCAGUGGCGAAGGCGGCCUGCUGGUCUACAACUGACGCUGAGGCACGAAAGCGUGGGGAGCGAACAGGAUUAGAUACCCUGGUAGUCCACGCCCUAAACGUUGAAUACUCGUUGUUAGCGAUAUACUGUUAGCGACUAAGCGAAAGCAUUAAGUAUUCCACCUGGGGAGUACGACCGCAAGGUUGAAACUCAAAGGAAUUGACGGGGGCCCGCACAAGCGGUGGAGCAUGU
rnacentral:rRNA from 1 species